GAGUGCGCGUCCGUAGCAAUACGGAUGGCGCACGGCGCACGGGUGCGUAACACGUGGGCAAUCUGCCCUCCGAUGGGGAAUAACUCCGGGAAACCGAAGCUAAUUCCGCAUAACAUUCCCAGGACCCCGGUUCCGGGAAUCAAAGCAGUGAUGCGUCGGAGGAGGAGCCCGCGCCCGAUUAGCUAGUUGGUAGGGUAACGGCCUACCAAGGCCAUGAUCGGUAGCUGGUCUGAGAGGAUGGCCAGCCACACUGGAACUGAGACACGGUCCAGACUCCUACGGGAGGCAGCAGUGGGGAAUCUUGCGCAAUGGGCGAAAGCCUGACGCAGCGACGCCGCGUGGGGGAUGAAGCUUCUCGGAGUGUAAACCCCUUUCGACUGGGACGAAUGCCCGCAAGGGAGUGACGGUACCAGUAGAAGAAGCCCCGGCUAACUACGUG
rnacentral:rRNA from 1 species